AUGACUUAAGUGGUUACUGUAGUGCUGUUUUGCCUAAAUAUGUUGUAGGACUGUGCAGAUUCUCUGUGAUGAUUGUUUUGGUACUACAACUGAUGCUGAUAGUCUUGUUUAUUUGUUUCUUUGUUAUAAGUUGUGCAGAGCAGGGAAAGAAUUUGGAUGAGUUUUUUUUCAGUCAAUAGCAGAUGAGGGCACAAAUUCUUGAGAUUAAACUGGAGCUAACCGGGAGAUUGACUAAAUGAUGAAAAACAAGUUCCUUUUGAUGAAGAUUAAGUACUUUAUAUUUUUAUGACUUUUUUGUAUGUAUAGCAAUAGUUUAUUGCUUAAAUAUUUAUGGAUUGGACACAAUACUAUGUUUUUAUUGAAAAUAAUUUUGAUAUUUAAAUAUAUUUUCAAUUUGAGUUU